CCCUUAUUGGAUUGGGAGGGUUCUACGGAACCCGUUUGGUGAAUCUAGUGCCGAGAAAAGCCUUCUGUUGAAUUUCUAGUACCCGUACCCCAAACCGACACAGGUGGGUGGGUAGAGCAUACCUAGGGGCGCGUGAUAACUCUCUCUAAGGAACUCGGCAAAAUGGCCCUGUAACUUCGGGAUAAGGGGUGCCUGCGUGAGCAGGCCGCAGUGAAAUGGCUCUGGCGACUGUUUACCAAAAACACAGGUCUUUGCUAAGUCGUAAGACGAUGUAUAGGGGCUGACUCCUGCCCAGUGCCGGAAGGUUAAGGAAGUUGGUUAGCGCAAGCGAAGCUGGCGACCGAAGCCCCGGUGAACGGCGGCCGUAACAAUAACGGUCCUAAGGUAGCGAAAUUCCUUGUCGGGUAAGUUCCGACCCGCACGAAAGGAGUAACGAUCAGAGCGCUGUCUCGGAGAGAGACACGGCGAAAUAGGAUUGUCCGUGAAGAUACGGACUACCUGCACCCGGACAGAAAGACCCUAUGAAGCUUUACUGUAACUUGGAAUUGUGUUCGGACUUUGUCUGCGCAGAAUAGGUGGGAGGCUAUGAAACGUUCCUCGCGGGGAACUGGAGCCAUCGUUGAGAUACCACUCUGGCAGAGUCUGGAUUCUAACCUACGGGGACAGUUCCAGGUGGGCAGUUUGACUGGGGCGGUCGCCUCCUAAAAUGUAACGGAGGCGCGCAAAGGUUCCCUCAGGCUGGUUGGAAAUCAGCCAUAGAGUGUAAAAGCAUAAGGGAGCUUGACUGUGAGACCUACGAGUCGAGCAGGGACGAAAGUCGGCUUUAGUGAUCCGACGGCACUGAGUGGAAGGGCCGUCGCUCAACGGAUAAAAGUUACUCUAAGGAUAACAGGCUGAUCUCCCCCAAGAGUUCACAUCGACGGGGAGGUUUGGCACCUCGAUGUCGGCUCGUCGCAACCUGGGGCGGUAGUACGUCCAAAGGGUUGGGCUGUUCGCCCAUUAAAGCGGCACGUGAGCUGGGUUCAGAACGUCGUGAGACAGUUCGGUCCAUAUCCGGUGUAGGCGUAGGAGCAUUGAAAGGAUCUCUCCUUAGUACGAGAGGACCGGGAGGGACGUACCUCUGGUGUACCUGUUAUCGUGCCAACGGUAAACGCAGGGUAGCCAUGUACGGAGUGGAUAACCGCUGAAAGCAUCUAAGAGGGAAGCCCACCUUAAGAUGAGUGCUCCCUUGAGGCCACGGGAAGACGACCCGUUUGAUAGGCGCUAGGUGGAAGUGCAGUAAUGCAUGCAGCCGAGGCGUACUAAUAGGCCGAUGGC
rnacentral:rRNA from 1 species